CCUACGGGAGGCAGCAGUGAGGAAUAUUGGUCAAUGGACGAGAGUCUGAACCAGCCAAGUAGCGUGAAGGAUGACUGCCCUAUGGGUUGUAAACCUCUUUUAUAUGGGAAUAAAAUGUUCCACGUGUGGGAUUCUGUUUGUACCAUAUGAAUAAGCAUCGGCUAACUCCGUGCCAGCAGCCGCGGUAAUACGGAGGAUCCGAGCGUUAUCCGGAUUUAUUGGGUUUAAAGGGAGCGUAGGUGGAAUGUUAAGUCCGGUGUGAAAGUUUGCGGAUCAACCGUAAAAUUGCAGUUGAAACUGGCAGUCGUGAGUACAGUAGAGGUGGGCGGAAUGCGUGGUGUAGCGGUGAAAUGCUUAGAUAUCACGAAGAACUCCGAUUGCGAAGGCAGCUCACUGGCCUGCAACUGACACUGAGGCUCGAAAGUGUGGGUAUCAAACAGGAUUAGAUACCCCCGUAGUC
rnacentral:rRNA from 1 species